GCAAGUAACAUGACUCAUUCUAAAUGUGCUAAUAAAGGCUAUUCCAAAGUACAUGUGACACAUUUCAAUGGUAUAAAACAACACUGAUUUGACAAUACACUAAACUAAAUUAAUAAAGAAAUCAGUCAUGGCUAAGACAACUGAACAUCACCUUAGCUAAUCACGUACAGUGGAUUCUGGUUAAUUGGGCCAUUGGUUAAUCGGGGCAGCUGCUCAUUUGGGACAACUCUUAAAGAGCAGGAAUCAACUGAGAAAAAGUACUGGGCUAUACACUGAGUGACUCAGAGGGAAGAUUAAAUCCAAGGACAUGCUGUAGAGUCAGUGAUCUGCACUGAUGCAUCCCACAGUUACUUCCACUGAGAUAAUGGAAUUACACAUUUCAUGGAUUCAGAAAACAGACAAUCAGCCUGCUGGGAGUCAAGCAGCACCUCUUGGGGGCGUGGGUUGGUUAAGAAUUGUUGAUAUUUUGAGUCAAAAUUGGAUAAACAGGACAUUUAGCUAAUCCUUUGUGAUAGUUUGC